CCGCGGGUCUGAAGGUAUCUGAGUCCAUCUUCACGUCGAAAAGAUGUACCCGAGUACGAAAAACGAUCAUCUACAAGGACACGAUUACUUGUGGAUGAGGAUGUGCUGUUGGUGGUUAUUACACAUCAGUUGAAAUCGGAUGACAAUGAUGACUUGUUCUGUCAGUGCAGUCAUUGACCGACGACUGGAGGACACCAGCUUCAAACAUGAGGAGCUAUCUGGAGCUGCAAUAAGUUCAACAUCAAAUGCCUAAGGAUGGAUGGGAAAAACCCAGAGACCUGAGGCAUUUGCUGUAGCUGCCGACGAUGUGGUCAAGCAGAUAAUGACCAAAUUUAAAAUUUGCAGAUGGAUGAGGAUCUGCUGUUGGUGGUUAUUAUACAUCAGUUGAAAUCGGAUGACGGCUUGUUCUGUCAGUGCAGUCAUUGACCGACGACUGGAAGACACCAGCUUCAAACAUGAGGAGCUAUCUGGAGCUGCAAUCAGUUCAACAUCAGAUGCCUAAGGAUAGAUGGGAAAAACCCAGAGACCUGAGUUAUUUACUGUAGCUGAGACAACGUGGUCAAGCAGAUAAUGACCAAAUUUAAAGUUUGCAGGGAGGGGACUGUGCCAACAACCAUAUAAUGUUAUAUUUUUGACUCGUCAAGAAAACAUCUCUCACUGUCCAUCAAGAAGCCCACAAACUCCACUUCUCCGCCUACAAAGAUGCCCUCACCACUGCCAAGUCUCCCUAUUUUUCCACCAUCAUCAAUGACUCCAACUGUAACCCCCGCACCCUCUUCUCCACUAUAAACAACCUCCUCAAGCCCCAUGCUGAUGCCCUCUCCAACUCUACUCCUGAACAGUGCAACUCAUUUAACAAAUCACUGUGCCCUGCAUCUGACUCGGCAGCUCCUACCCCAGCCCCUUUUAUCCCCAUUUCUCUCGACCUCCCUACCCCUCCCCGAUCGCCACCUCUCCUGGUUUGUUCCAGUUGCCCCUCCCACUAUCUCUGAACUCAUCAGCUCAUCAAAAGCCACAACCUGCUCCCUUGAUCCCUCCCCACCCUCCUACUGAAGAAAUGCCUCCCUGCCCUAUGCCCCUACCUCACCAACCUUUUCAAUUCCUCACUGUCCCAUGGAAUUGUCCCUUCUGCCUUCAAAACUGCCGCUGUCUCCCCAUUUCUCAAGAAACCUGGUCUUGAUCCAUCCUGCCUCAACCACUACCAGCCAAUCUCCAACCUCCCCUUUCUCUCAAAAACCCUGCAACGCAUUGUCGCCACACAACUCCAAACCUACCUACACUCCAACAUUCUACUUGAACCCCUCCAGUCCGGUUUUCGCCCACUCCACAGCACUGAAACUGCACUCCUGAAAGUACUCAACGACCUCCUCACCUCUGCUGAAACUGGGGCCCUUAACAUCGUCAGCCCAAGAUAAAAAGUAUCAAGAAAGAUUUGUUUACAUGUAAAUCUCAGGAUUGUAACUACCUAAUGUUAGUCUUGUCAACUUCGGACUGACCCUUGUUCCAGCUCUCUGUAGUAAAGCUGCAAGAUUUCUGGAAGCACUUCAGUCAGGAAAUGCUUUGUCCACUGGACACAUCCUGGCUCUGACAUUCAGACCAGCGGGAAAGGUUUUGCCCCGCUCUACAUGAACAAUCAGCCUUUAUUUUCCACCAGUCCUUUUGACCUCUUUGGAAGAAACAGUCACCCACAUAUUUAAUCUGUUAGCCUUUUGCACAAUCUUAUCUGGAUGAAGUUGCAUGCUGUGCAUGUAAUGCAUUUGUCCAAUUGACAAUUUCACUAAUAAACAGGCCAUUGGCUGAAACACCAUUAAAAACCUUGUGUUUAA